rnacentral:rRNA from 1 species
UAGGGAAUCUUCCACAAUGGACGCAAGUCUGAUGGAGCAACGCCGCGUGAGUGAAGAAGGUUUUCGGAUCGUAAAGCUCUGUUGUUGGUGAAGAAGGAUAGAGGCAGUAACUGGUCUUUAUUUGACGGUAAUCAACCAGAAAGUCACGGCUAACUACGUGCCAGCAGCCGCGGUAAUACGUAGGUGGCAAGCGUUGUCCGGAUUUAUUGGGCGUAAAGCGAGCGCAGGCGGAAUGAUAAGUCUGAUGUGAAAGCCCACGGCUCAACCGUGGAACUGCAUCGGAAACUGUCAUUCUUGAGUGCAGAAGAGGAGAGUGGAACUCCAUGUGUAGCGGUGGAAUGCGUAGAUAUAUGGAAGAACACCAGUGGCGAAGGCGGCUCUCUGGUCUGCAACUGACGCUGAGGCUCGAAAGCAUGGGUAGCGAACAGGAUUAGAUACCCUGGUAGUCCAUGCCGUAAACGAUGAGCGCUAGGUGUUGGGGACUUUCCGGUUCUCAGUGCCGCAGCAAACGCAUUAAGCGCUCCGCCUGGGGAGUACGA